ACGAAGCCAUAAUAGCCAUGAAAAUCCUUUUUUUGAGGUUUUACAACCAAAAAAAGAUUGUAACGAAUAGCAGGAAAAAGC
rnacentral:sRNA from 1 species